CAAACGGGUGAGUAACACAUUGAUAAUCUACCCUGAAGACGUGGAUAAGCCUGUGAAAACGGGCCUAAUACACGAUAAUAAUGGGGGGACAUAAGUCAUUCCCAUUUAAAGUUCCGACGCUUCAGGAUGAGUCUAUGGCCUAUCAGCUUGUUGGUAAGGUAAAAGCUUACCAAGGCUCUGACGGGUAGCGGGUGUGAGAGCACGACCCGCCUCAUUGGGACUGAGACACUACCCAA
rnacentral:rRNA from 1 species